UACGUAGGGGGGCAAGCGUUGUCCGGAUUUAUUGGGCGUAAAGAGCGUGUAGGCGGCUAGGUAGGUCCGUUGUGAAAACUCGAGCUCAACCUCGAGACGCCGGUGGAAACCAUCUAGCUAGAGUCCGGAAGAGGAGAGUGGAAUUCCUGGUGUAGCGGUGAAAUGCGCAGAUAUCAGGAAGAACACCCGUGGCGAAGGCGGCUCUCUGGUACGUGACUGACGCUGAGACGCGAAAAGCGUGGGGGAGCGAACAGG
rnacentral:rRNA from 1 species